GACCCGUGAUGUGCAUUUGAAUAAGAGUAGUGGACAGGAAGGAUUUCUGACAAUUUUGCUUCUGAGGUC